rnacentral:rRNA from 1 species
UACGUAGGGAGCAAGCGUUGUUCGGAUUUACUGGGCGUAAAGGGCGCGUAGGCGGCGCGGUAAGUCACUUGUGAAAUCUCUGAGCUUAACUCAGAACGGCCAAGUGAUACUGCAGUGCUAGAGUGCAGAAGGGGCAAUCGGAAUUCCAGGUGUAGCGGUGAAAUGCGUAGAUAUCUGGAGGAAUACCGGUGGCGAAGGCGGCAUCCUGGACCGGCAUUGACGCUGAGGAGCGAAAGCCAGGGGAGCAAACGGG